GACAGCAACUAUACACAAAGGUGCUGGUAAUAAAUUUAUUAAAAUUUAAACAUUUCUGGGUCACAUGCAACAAACUUCAACAUUUCCAAGGCAAACGCUGGAAAUGAUGAUGUGCAUGACCUAUGGAAUGGUAUUUUGAAAAAUCUCUCAGUGAUGACUGAAAUAAAACUGGAUUUAAAUCGGGAUAUGCCAAUCUUAAGGAAAUGCAUGCUACCAGCUAGAAUCACGGACAUUUCUAAAGUGGACAGGACACAGGUUACUAAUGGGGUGACAUUUUGACAUAAAAGUUGUUGGCAGCUAAGCAAAUUACAAGGAUACCUGGGAGCACAGCCCGAUAAAUGGAAAGAUACUUUGACACAUAUCAAUUAAAUGGCACACCUGUGGGAAACAACAUCAUCUUCUACCUGACUAUUCGCAUCACCUGUGUAUGGAAUCACCAGCGAUUGGAAGGGGUCAAAAAUUUGUUGCAUUUUUUUCGUCAGCGCGCCAUGGAAGCAUUUGGCGCUUAAUUCUGAACGGCAAUUGGAGGCAACUGCCAAUUUUUUACAGGAGAAUCUCGGCUUGUUAGAUAAGAAUGAAAAAAUGUAUAAUUUUACCUUUUUAUUGCCGGUACUUAUCGACUUUUUCUCCUUUUAGGCAAAAGACAUCAAAAUGGUUGUUGCUGCUAACUCAAACAAGGCCAGUUUCCAUCAGCCAAACAAGACAAUCACGGGAACAAAUUUAAACACAAAUUGGGCAGCUGUUUAUCCUGGCGGGUUUCCAGAAAUUCCGGGUUUUUGCCAAAGCUGACCACCUCCCGGAAGAAGUCUGGAGGAGCCAAUAUUUCUUGUUCGGGGCUAUAGUUGGCGCGACUUUACUAUUUUGUUCGCACGUACACAUAAAUUAAAUUAUCCAAAACGAACACAAAUAAACAACCACAAUUUGACAUUAAAUUCAACAAAUAUUCCACUGUUAUUUUAUUUUGACGAUGGCUUAAUUCCCGGACAAAUGGUAUUUUUCCACAACAGAACAAGACGCAUUCACGAAAUUUUCCCCGCUACGCCUUUUUAUAGGGC